CUGCGGCGUGCUUAACACAUGCAAGUCGAAACGCGAAAGGGACUUCGGUCCUGAGUAAAGUGGCGCACGGGUGAGUAACGCGUAGAUAACCUGUCUUCAUGUCUGGAAUAAUACGCCGAAAGGGGUACUAAUACCGGAUAUUCUUUGCUUUUCAUAAGUUAUGCAAGCAAAGGUGGCCUCUGCAUAUGCUACUGCAUGAAGAGGGGUCUGCGUACCAUUAGCUAGUAGGUGGGGUAAUGGCCUACCUAGGCGACGAUGGUUAGCGGGUCUGAGAGGAUGAUCCGCCACACUGGCACUGGAACACGGGCCAGACUCCUACGGGAGGCAGCAGUGAGGAAUAUUGCGCAAUGGGGGAAACCCUGACGCAGCGACGCCGCGUGAGUGAAGGAAGGCCUUCGGGUCGUAAAGCUCUGUCAAGAGGAAAGAAGUGUACAAUGGCUAAUACCUGUUGUAUUUGACGGUACCUCUAAAGGAAGCACCGGCUAACUCCGUGCCAGCCGCAGC
rnacentral:rRNA from 1 species